rnacentral:rRNA from 1 species
UACGAAGGGGGCUAGCGUUGCUCGGAAUCACUGGGCGUAAAGCGCACGUAGGCGGAUUGUUAAGUCAGGGGUGAAAUCCUGGAGCUCAACUCCAGAACUGCCUUUGAUACUGGCGAUCUUGAGUCCGGGAGAGGUGAGUGGAACUGCGAGUGUAGAGGUGAAAUUCGUAGAUAUUCGCAAGAACACCAGUGGCGAAGGCGGCUCACUGGCCCGGUACUGACGCUGAGGUGCGAAAGCGUGGGGAGCAAACAAG